CCAACCUAAUUCAUCGGCUACCCAUCGCUACUGCACCAACCCAUAUCAUCCCUGGUUCAGUACCAACCCUUCAUCAUUAAGCAUCUACACUCUUCAUACGAUUUUCGCUUGUUGUGAGAAAAUAUGAAGAUUUAAGGAGUGCCCUAAAAAUGUUUACAUUCGGGAGGUGUUGGUUCGGCACGGGGUGCCGGUGGUUUCGAACCGAGAUGCCCACUUCACCUCUAGGUUUUAGAGAAAGUUUCAUGAGGAGUUGGAUACUCAGCUGUAUUUCAGUACAUCAUAUCACCCCGAGACCGAUAGACAGAGUGAGCAGACGAUUUAGACACUUGAAGAUAUGCUCCGGGCAUGUGUGUUAGAUUUUGGAGGGAGUUGGAAUACUUACCUUCCACUAGUCGAGUUCUCUUACAACAAUAGUUAUCACAUCAUUAUUGACCGACCAUGUAACAUCCUGUUAUUUUCUACCUUGUAAAAGUCAACAUUAGUCAACAAAAGUCAAUAUGUCGAAUAAAAGUCAAAUUUAGUGAAUUAUUAUUUUAAUAAAGUUAAAAUAAAUAAGUUUGAUA